rnacentral:snoRNA from 1 species
CCCCUCUCAGAGCUGCACCUGGAGAGUUUCCAGUACUCUACCAGUCUCUGGCUAUGGGAAAGAGAGUCAAGCAGAGGCCUACCCAUUCCAUUCCUAGCUUUGCCAGUGGCUAGCAAGUGGAAGGCAAUCUGCCACAAGU